GGACAUGAGGGCGAUCUGGCUGCGACAUCUGUCACCCCAUUGAUUGCCAGGGUUGAUUCGGCCAAUCUGGCUGGCUAGGCGGGUAUCCCCUUCCUCCCUCACCGCUCCAUGUGCGUCCCUCCCAAAGCUGCACGCUCCAUGGAAGAGGAAGGCCUUCCCUGAAUAGAGACGCACAGGUCUUAGGUCGAGGGUAUAUGAGUAGCUGCGCUCCCCUGCUAGAACCUCCAAACAAGCUCUCAAGAAUAUCAGUUGGGGGAGGGGGGGCAGGGUUUGGGCUAGCAUGA
ensembl:misc_RNA 7SK 7SK RNA